AAAGGGAGCGUAGGCGGCCUGUUAAGUCAGGGGUGAAAGACGGUGGCUCAACCAUCGCAGUGCCCUUGAUACUGACGGGCUUGAAUGUAGUUGAGGUGGGCGGAAUGUGACAAGUAGCGGUGAAAUGCAUAGAUAUGUCACAGAACACCGAUUGCGAAGGCAGCUCACUAAGCUAUGAUUGACGCUGAGGCUCGAAAGCGUGGGGAUCAAACAGGAUUAGAUACCCUGGU
rnacentral:rRNA from 1 species